rnacentral:rRNA from 1 species
GACGAACGCUGGCGGCGUGCUUAACACAUGCAAGUCGAACGGAAAGGCCCUGCUUUUGUGGGGUGCUCGAGUGGCGAACGGGUGAGUAACACGUGAGUAACCUGCCCUUGACUUUGGGAUAACUUCAGGAAACUGGGGCUAAUACCGGAUAGGAGCUCCUGCUGCAUGGUGGGGGUUGGAAAGUUUCGGCGGUUGGGGAUGGACUCGCGGCUUAUCAGCUUGUUGGUGGGGUAGUGGCUUACCAAGGCUUUGACGGGUAGCCGGCCUGAGAGGGUGACCGGCCACAUUGGGACUGAGAUACGGCCCAGACUCCUACGGGAGGCAGCAGUGGGGAAUAUUGCACAAUGGGCGGAAGCCUGAUGCAGCAACGCCGCGUGCGGGAUGACGGCCUUCGGGUUGUAAACCGCUUUCGCCUGUGACGAAGCGUGAGUGACGGUAAUGGGUAAAGAAGCACCGGCUAACUACGUGCCAGCAGCCGCGGUGAUACGUAGGGUGCGAGCGUUGUCCGGAUUUAUUGGGCGUAAAGGGCUCGUAGGUGGUUGAUCGCGUCGGAAGUGUAAUCUUGGGGCUUAACCCUGAGCGUGCUUUCGAUACGGGUUGACUUGAGGAAGGUAGGGGAGAAUGGAAUUCCUGGUGGAGCGGUGGAAUGCGCAGAUAUCAGGAGGAACACCAGUGGCGAAGGCGGUUCUCUGGGCCUUUCCUGACGCUGAGGAGCGAAAGCGUGGGGAGCGAACAGGCUUAGAUACCCUGGUAGUCCACGCUGUAAACGGUGGGUACUAGGUGUGGGGUCCAUUCCACGGGUUCCGUGCCGUAGCUAACGCUUUAAGUACCUCGCCUGGGGAGUACGGCCGCAAGGCUAAAACUCAAAGGAAUUGACGGGGCCCCGCACAAGCGGCGGAGCGUGCGGAUUAAUUCGAUGCAACGCGUAGAACCUUACCUGGGUUUGACAUGGAUCGGGAGUGCUCAGAGAUGGGUGUGCCUCUUUUGGGGUCGGUUCACAGGUGGUGCAUGCCUGUCGUCAGCUCGUGUCGUGAGACGUUGGGUUAAGUCCCGCAACGAGCGCAACCCUUGUUCACUGUUGCCAGCACGUUAUGGUGGGGACUCAGUGGAGACCGCCGGGGUCAACUCGGAGGAAGGUGGGGAUGACGUCAAGUCCUCAUGCCCCUUAUGUCCAGGGCUUCACGCAUGCUACAAUGGCUGGUACAGAGAGUGGCGAGCCUGUGAGGGUGAGCGAAUCUCGGAAAGCCGGUCUCAGUUCGGAUCGGGGUCUGCAACACGACCUCAUGAAGUCGGAGUCGCUAGUAAUCGCAGAUCAGCAACGCUGCGGUGAAUACGUUCCCGGGGCU